rnacentral:misc_RNA from 1 species
AAGUCGUAACAAGGUUUCCGUAGGUGAACCUGCGGAAGGAUCAUUAACACGUAUCCACGUAUCAUACUAACUAUACACCGAACUGGGCUCCCCGUUACAUUCGAAUUCAUAGCUGGUAGGAUGGAACAUUCAGAGUGGGGUUCGUUCAUUCGAACCAGAUGACUAUUCUCCUGUAUCACUCCAUCGAGAGUGAAGCUAUGUAACAGUAAUGUCGGGCUUUAUUUUUCUUUUUCUAUCCAUAUGGGACUCACCACUUGGGUCCCUAUGGGUUAGGAAAAGAAAUUCUAUACUUUACACCUUUCACUCUAUUUUACCCUAAUUGACUAAUUGUCUUGAUUCAAUCCGAUCCUAACAGAUCUGGUUUUGAUGACUACAGACUAAUCUAUCAUAACUAAGUACAACUCUUAGCAAUGGAUAUCUAGGUUCUC